rnacentral:rRNA from 1 species
GACGAACGCUGGCGGCGUGCUUAACACAUGCAAGUCGAACGGAAAGGCCCUGCUUUUGUGGGGUGCUCGAGUGGCGAACGGGUGAGUAACACGUGAGUAACCUGCCCUUGACUUUGGGAUAACUUCAGGAAACUGGGGCUAAUACCGGAUAGGAGCUCCUGCUGCAUGGUGGGGGUUGGAAAGUUUCGGCGGUUGGGGAUGGACUCGCGGCUUAUCAGCUUGUUGGUGGGGUAGUGGCUUACCAAGGCUUUGACGGGUAGCCGGCCUGAGAGGGUGACCGGCCACACUGGGACUGAGAUACGGCCCAGCCUCCUACGGGAGGCAGCAGUGGGGAAUAUUGCACAAUGGGCGGAAGCCUGAUGCAGCAACGCCGCGUGCGGGAUGACGGCCUUCGGGUUGUAAACCGCUUUCGCCUGUGACGAAGCGUGAGUGACGGUAAUGGGUAAAGAAGCACCGGCUAACUACGUG